UACGUAGGGCGCGAGCGUUGUCCGGAAUUAUUGGGCGUAAAGAGCUCGUAGGCGGCCUGUUGCGUCCGCUGUGAAAUCCCGGGGCUCAACCCCGGGCUUGCAGUGGAUACGGGCUGGCUAGAGGCAGGCAGGGGAGAACGGAAUUCCCGGUGUAGCGGUGAAGUGCGCAGAUAUCGGGAGGAACACCGGUGGCGAAGGCGGUUCUCUGGGCCUGUACUGACGCUGAGGAGCGAAAGCGUGGGGAGCGAACAGG
rnacentral:rRNA from 1 species